AAGCGGAGGAAAAGAAACCAACAGGGAUUGCCUCAGUAACGGCGAGUGAAGCGGCAAAAGCUCAAAUUUGAAAUCUAGCACCUUCGGUGUUCGAGUUGUAAUUUGAAGAUGGUAACCUUGGGUUUGGCUCUUGUCUAUGUUCCUUGGAACAGGACGUCAUAGAGGGUGAGAAUCCCGUCUGAUGAGAUGCCCAUUCCUAUGUAAGGUGCUAUCGAAGAGUCGAGUUGUUUGGGAAUGCAGCUCUAAGUGGGUGGUAAAUUCCAUCUAAAGCUAAAUAUUGGCGAGAGACCGAUAGCGAACAAGUACAGUGAUGGAAAGAUGAAAAGAACUUUGAAAAGAGAGUGAAAAAGUACGUGAAAUUGUUGAAAGGGAAGGGCAUUAGAUCAGACUUGGUGUUUUACGAUUAUCUUCUCUUCUUGAGUUGUGCACUCGUAUUUCACUGGGCCAGCAUCGAUUCGGAUGGCAAGAUAAUGGCAGUUGAAUGUGGCUUCACUUCGGUGGAGUGUUAUAGCUUCUGCUGAUAUUGCCUGUCUGGAUCGAGGGCUGCGUCUUUUGACUAGGAUGCUGGCGUAA
rnacentral:rRNA from 1 species